rnacentral:rRNA from 1 species
GUCUACGGCCAUGCCACCCUGAACAAGCCCGAUCUCGUCUGAUCUUGGAAGCUUAAGCAGGUCGGGCCUGGUUAGUACUUAGAUAGGAGACCACCUAGAAAGACCAGAUGCUGUAGGCA